rnacentral:lncRNA from 1 species
UUUAUAUUUAUAUAAUUAUAUUUUUAUAUUUAUAUAAAUAUAUAUAUUUAUAUUUAUAUAAAUAUAUAAUUAUAUAAAUAUAUAUAACAAUGUAAUAUAUAAUAUACAUUAAUAUAUAAUAGAUUUAUAAUUAUAUAUUAUAUAUUUAUACAUUAUUUAAAUAUAAAUAUAUAUAUAUAUAUAUUUUUUUUUUUUUUUUUUUUUUUUGGAGACAGAGUCUCGCUCUGUCACCCAGGCUGGAGUGCAGUGGCACCAUCUCGGCUCACUGCAAGCUCCACCUCCUGGGUUCACGCCAUUCUCCUGCCUCAGCCUCCCCAGUGGCUGGGACUAUAGGUGCCCGCCACCACGCCCGGCUAAUUUUUUGUAUUUUUAGUAGAGACGGGGUUUCGCCGUGUUAGCCAGGAUGGUCUCGAUCUCCUGACCUUGUGAUCCGCCCGCCUCAGCCUCCCAAAGUGCUGGGAUUACAAGCAUGAGCCACUGCACCAGACCUAAAUACUAUAUAUUUAAAAAGCAUCAGGCUGGAGGUGGUGGCUCAUGCCUGUAAUCCCAAUACUCUGGGAGCCAAAGCAGGAGAAUCACAUAAGCCCAGCGGUUUGAGACCAGCCUGGGCAACAGGCCAAGAUCUCAUCUCUGAAAAAAAAAAAGUAAAAAAAAUUAGCCAGGUGUGGUGGUGCACACCUGUAGUCCCAGCUAACUCUCAAGGCUGAGGAGGAAGGAUUGCUUGAACCCAGGAGGUUGAGGUUGCAGUAAGCCAUGAUCAUGCGCUGCACUCCCGCCUGGGCAACGGAGUGAGAGACUGUCUCAAAAAUUUAAAAAAUAUAUAUUUUUUUAAGCAUCAGAUAGGCUUGCUCUGCAAAGAUCUUAGAUCUUUGUAGUCAAAAAUACCUAGAAUUGUUUGAAUUCCAAUUGUGACAAUUAGUUGUAGGAACCUUAAACAAGUUAUUUAAAACCCCAGUCUUAGCUAAAAAUGGAAUCUGAGGCUGCAAAGAUGACAGAAGAUCAUAAUAUAAACUGCAUGGUGUACAGUCUAGAACACAGUCUUAGUUUCCCACAAUUUAUUAAACCCCAAAGAAAGAAAAGAUGGGAGAGGAAUGCACUUUCCUUUAACUCCCUUCACAAACUGGUGAAUGAUGACACCCAAUGAUGACUACAACAUUCUCAAAUGAGGGAAAUUAAAACGAAGAAGAAAAAAAAACUGGCCCUACCAAAAGCUUUCACAACUAGGGACUUAACCUGAAAAACGAGAUUUUGUUGUUGUUGUUUGAGAUGGAAUUUCGUUCUCGUUGCCCAGGCUGCAGUGCAAUGGCGUGAUCUCAGCUCACUGCAACCUCCGCCUCCCGGGUUCAAGCGAUUCUCCUGUCUCAGCCUCCUGAGUAGCUAGAUUACAGGUGCCCGCCACUAUGCCCAGCUAAUUUUUGGUAUUUUUAGUAGAGAUGGGUUUUCACAACAUGUUGGCGAGGCUGGUCCUGAACUCCUGACCUCAGGUGAUCCGCCCGCCUGGGCCUUCCAAAGUGCUGGGAUUACAGGCAUGAGCCACCACGCCCGGCUGAGAUUUUUUAUAGAUAGGAUUUUUUAAGAGAAUGCAGGACAGGACUAACAAAAAGAAAAAAAGAAAUACCCCUCUACUCCACACGAGUUAUUAAGAAAUUAUUUUAGGCAAAUGGAGAGGAAAAGUGGUCCUUGGAAGGUUUUUCGUAGCUCCAGAAAAAUUUCUUGUCUAGCAUAAAAGCCCUGGCUCUUAAAGGCUGGCAACCUUUAAGAUGCAAAUGCAAGAGGGUCCACCCAACAUGGCGAUUCCCACCGUUGUCCUCUUGCCCUUGCUCCAUCAGGUACCUAACAGCAUGGCCGCCCCCACAUAACCCCGUGUGUAAAAUGUCAUGGCAUCCUGCAUUUGUGUAUUAAAGGACUGGGGUGGGAGGGCCAGUUUUCUUGAGGGCUAAAUGACAUGCCUGGUCAAACCAAUCCUCUGAGCCCUAUGCAAAUAAGACACCACCCCCUCCAGCCGUCACAUAAAACUGGCUAGUAUUGUCAGAAUGUAAGGUCUCCUCUUUCAGCUUUAGAGCCCCCCUCCCUCUGUCUGUGUAAGGGGGAGCUUCUUCCUUCUGCCUUCUCCCUUCUUGCCUAUUAAACGCUCUGCUCCUUAAAACCACUCCACGUGUGUCCGUGUCGUUUUAUCUAAUUCAACUCAAAACAAAAAACCUGGUGUUCCUCUACUCCUCAAAGCCAUAUCAGUAACAAGGCAGUGUCCCAGGUACAAAGCAGGAACAAGGACUCUAAAUAUCAUUCAGCUAGAAUUCUGAUAUAACUUUAACAAAAACUAUACAUUAAAUAGGGGUCCGGGCAGGUGGCUCACAUCUGUAAUCCCAACACUUUGGGAGGCCAAGGCAGGCAGAUCACUUGAGGUCAGGAGUUCGAGACCAGCCUGGCCAACAUGGCGAAACCCCGUC